GGGGUCGGAUCUCAGGGGUCGGAACCAGGCGGAUAGCUGAUCACUUAGACGCGGUCAAGCAAGGCAGAUGACUGGGAUACAGGGUUCCGGUUGAGAUUGACUCGAAAGAUUAGGGGUCGGUCGUUACAGCCUACCCCUCUUAAAAGAAUCUCGUCCUGAGAUUCGGCCAUCAAAAGCAGGAUGACGUUUUUACCUCCUUGCCGAGACAGAAAACCUAGAAAGCG
rnacentral:lncRNA from 1 species